GCCGGCUUAUCACCGGGAGUCUUGCUAGAGUGCCCACCCGAAGUGCUGGCAACUAACAACAGGGGUUGCGCUCGUUGCCGGACUUAACCGAACAUCUCACGACACGAGCUGACGACAGCCAUGCAGCACCUGUCUCCAGGCUCCCCCGUGAGGGGGCACCCCGUACUUUCAUACAGGUUCCUGGGAUGUCAAGGCUGGGUAAGGUUCUGCGCGUUGCUUCGAAUUAAACCACAUACUCCACCGCUUGUGCGGGCCCCCGUCAAUUCCUUUGAGUUUCAGCCUUGCGGCCGUACUCCCCAGGCGGGGCACUUAAUGCGUUAGCGCCGGCACUCAAGGGGUCGCUCCCCCAAGCACCUAGUGCCCAUCGUUUACGGCGUGGACUAC
rnacentral:misc_RNA from 1 species